rnacentral:lncRNA from 1 species
GUGAGUUUUUCUUGAAACCAAAUAGUCUGAUUUUUGGCAUCGAGCUAAUUCUGAUGCAUAUAUCAGGUCAGAAACCAUUGGCUACAAAUUUUUUUUUUAGUUCUAACAGGCACGCGUUCAAAAAUAUUGGCCAACUCUUCGCACGUGUGUUACACCCGUGCGAAAAGUCGGCCGAUCCGGAAGAACUGGAGAUGGCCAUAAACGGCCGAGGAACAGUCCGUUUUGGGCCAGCGGUCAAGAAAAUAAGUUCCGUUAAUUACCGGUGCACUUCAGGAUAUUUAUUUAUCAAGUUCUUUUAGUUUCUUAACUGUAAUUA